GGACCCGUAGCUCAAUUGGUAGAGCGUCAGAUUCCAGACAGGAAUAUCCUGAAGGUUAUCCGUUCGAUUCGGGUCGGGUUCA